GUAGGUGGCAAGCGUUGUCCGGAAUUAUUGGGCGUAAAGCGCGCGCAGGCGGUUCUUUAAGUCUGAUGUGAAAGCCCACGGCUCAACCGUGGAGGGUCAUUGGAAACUGGGGAACUUGAGUACAGAAGAGGAAAGCGGAAUUCCACGUGUAGCGGUGAAAUGCGUAGAGAUGUGGAGGAACACCAGUGGCGAAGGCGGCUUUCUGGUCUGUAACUGACGCUGAGGCGCGAAAGCGUGGGGAGCAAACAGGGAUUAGAUACCCUGGUAGUCCACGCCGUAAACGAUGAGUGCUAAGUGUUAGGGGGUUCCGCCCCCUUAGUGCUGCAGCUAACGCAUUAAGCACUCCGCCUGGGGAGUACGGCCGCAAGGCUG
rnacentral:rRNA from 1 species